rnacentral:rRNA from 1 species
AGUGAACGCUGGCGGUAGGCCUAACACAUGCCAGUCGAACGGCAGCACAGGAGAGCUUGCUCUCUAGGUGGCGAGUGGCGGACGGGUGAGGAAUACAUCGGAAUCUGCCCAGUCGUGGGGGAUAACGUAGGGAUACUUACGCUAAUACCGCAUACGACCUUCGGGAGGAAGGGGGGGAGAGCAAGACCUCUCGCGAGUGGAUGAGCCGAUGUCGGAUUAGCUAGUUAGCGGGGUAAUGGCCCACCAAGGCGACGAUCCGUAGCUGGUCGGAGAGGAUGAUCAGCCACACUGGAACUGAGACACGGUCCAGACUCCUACGGGAGGCAGCAGUGGGGAAUAUUGGACAAUGGGCGCAAGCCUGAUCCAGCCAUACCGCGUGGGUGAAGAAGGCCUUCGGGUUGUAAAGCCCUUUUGUUGGGAAAGAAAUCUUUCAGGCUAAUACCCUGGGAGGAUGACGGUACCCAAAGAAUAAGCACCGGCUAACUUCGUG